AAAACCUGUGAAUUGAGUAUUCACCAUUUUACGUGUGAGGAAACUGAGACACAGUUUAGCUAAUUUGUCUAAUCUCAGAUGGUGAGGACAGUUCCUCAAUUUAAGCCUAGAUAAUGUUGACUAAAUCACCAGUGUCAAUAGUAGUAGAUUCUGGGCCAAGCGUUGUGGCUCAUGUUGGGAGGAUUGUUUGAGGCCAGGAGUUUGAGAUCAGCCUGGGCAAAAUAGGGAGACCUGGUCUCUACAUAAAAUAAAAAGAAAUUAACCGAGCCUGGUGGCACUCAUCUGUAGUCCCAGCUACUUGGGAGACUAAGGCUGGAGGAUUACUUGAGUCUAGGAGUUGGAGAGUGCAGUGAGCUAUGAAUGCACCGCUGCAUUCCAGUGUAUGCAACAGGGAGAUUCCCU
rnacentral:lncRNA from 10 species